UUUAAGUGUAACCAUAAGUUUCCGCGUUUAACUUUGAUCGUUCGUCUUAUUUGAAAAUUUUUUAUAAUUAGCAUUUUUAUUGUUGUGAGAUAAUAAAACAUGAUACUUUACUCGUGACUUAUGUUUUUAAUUUUUUUUAAUAAUUUUUCAAAUAAGAUGGAUGGUCAAAAUUGAACGCGGAAAACAUGGCUGCACUUGAA
rfam:Oryza nivara chromosome 8, whole genome shotgun sequence.